GAAAUGGAGUUUCGCUCUUGUUGCCCAGGCUGAAGUGCAAUGGCAUGAUCUCGGCUUACUGCAACCUCCGCCUCCCGGGUUCAAGCAAUUCCCCUGCCUCAGCCUCCUGAGUAUCUGGGAUUACAGGCAUGCACCACCACGCCCGGCUAAUUAGGAUGGAUGUGGAGAAAGGCAAGAUUGAAGACACAGGAGGCAGUGGCGGCUCCUAUUCCAUCAAAACCCAGUUUAACUCUGAGGAGCAGUGGACAAAAGCUCUCAAGUUCAUGCUGACGAAUCUUAAGUGGGGUCUUGCUUGGGUGUCCUCACAAUUUUAUAACAAAUGACUUUUUUCCUUAGGGGGAGGUUUGCCUUAAAGGCUUUUAAUUUUGUUUUGUUUGCAAACAUGUUUUAAAUUAAAUUCGGGUAAUAUUAAACAGUACAUGUUUACAAUACCAAAAAAGAAAAAAUCCACAAAAGCCACUUUAUUUUAAAAUAUCAUGUGACAGAUACUUUCCAGAGCUACAACAUGCCAUCUAUAGUUGCCAGCCCUGGUCAGUUUUGAUUCUUAACCCCAUGGACUCCUUUCCCUUUCUUCUCUGAAAAAAACUAAUUUAAAUUUGCUUUUCUUUUUUUUAACUGAGUUGAAUUGAGAUUGAUGUGUUUUCACUGGAUUUUUAUCUCUCUCAACUU
rnacentral:lncRNA from 10 species